AUGCAAUACAAUAUUUAGUUGCAUUUUACGAACUCCAGAGAAAAAUAUCAAGGCCUCUUUUACUCAUUAAAUAUUUGACUUUCCUCUCAAGCUACUUGUGGUGGUCUGUUCAUUGUCAUUUCAUGCUGCACAUAUGGUUUAAUAUAAGCUUUUGUGUGCUUACACGCUUAGAUCGACUGCCCAGUUAUAUGAAGAAUUGUUGAGGGAGAGGGCACAGUCAUGUGGACCAGCAAACCCAAACAAUGCUCUUGGGUGUUGAUUCUCAGUGAGAUUCACUGCUCAACAGCACCGUAACCUACAUCCCUCAAAAUGAUCACAUAGUCAAAACAUAUUUGGAGACAAAUGUACUGGACCCAGAAUGGAACCUUGUGGCACACCACUGGACAGAGAAAGCUUUGGUGGCACAGAGGCAUGGGUGUCGCAGGUAUUAUAUUAUAUGCACACAUGCAUGCACUGUUACCACAAAAUAUUACCUAAAAUCAAAGCUUGCCAUUUAACUAAAUGUUUGUAUUUUGUUAGCCUAUUGCUCAUAUCCUUCUUGUUUUUCUCACACUAAAGCUAGAUAAUGUUAAGAUUUUUUUUUUCAGCAAAAUAGUGAAAAGAUGUGGAAAGAGGCAAGUUAAUUUAAUUUCACUGAUAUUAUACAGUCGUCUGGUCUAUUUUUCAUCUCUUGAUUUAAUUUGUUUGCUUCACCAGACAAACUUAUUUUUUUACAGGGAAGAGGAAAGGAAAGGAAAUAAGUAAUUACUGGCAAUAAUCAACUAAUUUCAGCCAAGUCCCUUGCAAUAGCCAGCUGCUGCCCGUUUUGACUAGUGUAAACUAGGUCACAAAAUUGUUUGCAGUUGCCAUGGAUUGUUGCCAGGAUUGAUUGAUUUCUGUCAUUUGAGAUAAUUUAACUCUGAAAGGAGACCUCACAGCUAUCCUAAUGUACCAUAGCACAACUCCACAGCUUUGAGACACAGGCCUCAGGUCCUGGUAAUAAUUCAUUCUAGCAGAAACAAUCAGAAGAUAAAUGUAUUUCAGUUUUUUUUUUUUUUUUUUUUUUUUAGAGUGGUUAUUACUAAAGACGGUUCUGGAUUAGUCAUUGAAUCAAUUUCUUUACAUUUAGCUGUUUAAUAUCUUCAAAUAUCUGGAUGAAAUUACAAAAUGAACCCAUAAUUUUUCCACACAGAGCAAACCACACAAACCACAGAGGUAAUAACAGGUAGAAGAGAUACAAAACAAAAUCCUCUCAAAUAGAUCACUAGAGAUCACUCUCCCAUUGCCCAUUCUUCUUUUUCAGAAUGCAGCAAUGUUGUAUUAAAGCUGCACCAAGGUCAAGGAAUAGUCACCUGCAUUGCCAACAAAACAUGUACCAUCAUCAGUGUUGUUUUAGGGGAGUGCACCCAACUCAAAGCAGAAGGGAACUUAACAAGGAUGUAUGCAUCCAGGAAGCUGUGAGCACCGUAUCCACAAGUGGUCAAGAACCAGUCAGUAUGUUUUGAGAAUAAGCCCACUUAGGUCCCUCAUGGUGGACAAGAUAAGUCAUUUUUGUGUGUGUUUCAAGUGCCAUACCUGCCCCUUUCUUGCCUGGCCCUCCCACUGACCUCAACAAAGAGCCUUGCAGGUGGUGAGCUUACAACUCAUACAAACAAGAAAGGAGUCGUAUUCCUUUACACCAAUUACUGUACUGAAAGGUGGUGGUUUUAUAUAUGACCACUGUUUCAAACUCAGUGUACACAGUGUACACUAAUACUUACAGUGUACACAAAUACUAACGAUAGCAAAAAUAUCGCUAAUAUUAAUUUGAGCAUUUUCAAGGUAUAUCUAUAAUAUAGAUCAUGUAAAUCAGUCAUUAUUGAGACAUUCAUGAAAGAAGCUAUUUCAAAAAACAUGGAAAUGUGCUUUUAUUAAAUAAAGAAUAAAUUACAAUAAUAUGACAUUAAUGUAUAAAUAACUCAAUAUAACACUGGAAAUUAUGCCUCAAUGUGUCACAGCAACUUUAAGAAAGGUGGUUAUUAAAUAAAUUUACAUUGUGAAGUUCUACUGAUUCAAAGGGAUGAGUGAUAUGUGGAUAGUGGGCCGUCAGUUUAGUUACAGGAGUUAAGACAGCAUUUCACCUCAUGAUAUAGUAGUUUAAUGCAUACAUUACACACUCAGAAAUAGUUGGUAAAUUGAUGUAAAGUUGCGUUGAUGUUUGAACUGAUUGGCUGUAAGCAAACAGGCAAUAUGGACACAAGCAUGCUCACAUAAACACUUUCAAAUUUCAGCUUGAAAACCUUUGACUGCACUAAUAUCACAGACGACUAUUAUCAUUUGUUGCAGACGUCACAUUUCAUAUCAAAAUCGCACAAACAUGUAUGAUUGUAUAAAAUGUUGAUUCAACCUAAAACAAAAAUAUUGAUGAGAUAUUGAUAGAUUGAAUUACUUGUAGUUUUGGCAUCCUUGUGCUCUACUGCAGACAGUACAUGGCAGAAAUGUGUAAAUAUUGAGUUCCUGAAGAAAACUUGGUAAACAUGUUUACAACUUUAUAAAUUUAUUGAUUUUGAAUAAUUACACCCACACAUUGAGUGCAUACUAUUGGGUUAAAGCUUGAAGCUUCCUGUAAACCUGAUCUGGAGAGAUAUAUUAGUUAUCACUGCAGUGGAAGAUCCAAACUCUGUAAACUUCAUCAGGAAAUGAGACUGGAUUUGAUAGACAUGAAAAAUCUCAACAAUGGGAAUGUCAGCACAGGACAUUAAAGCUGGUCCAAGUGCUUGUUUCUUGUUCUGUCAAGUCACUGUUUUUACAUGGCAGAGUGCUGCCAUCAAGUGGUGAGAAAGAGGAAUUUAAUUUUAAACUGGCACCAACACAAAACCAGGCAAAAUACUGUCCUCGUCUCCGAGUCAGAGCUUUGCUGUGUUCACAAAUACUUCUCAUGGCACAUGACAUCAAACUAAUAAUAAUUUUCAGUUCAGCCAGACUUAUUGCACAGGUAUACAGAUUAAACCAGCGGACUGGAUUUCUUUUGGGUCAGAAAAUAAUCUGUUCAUGAAUGGCCAGUGGAUACAAUGAGGAGAAAAAUGCAUUAAAUCAACCAAGCCUACCAAAUAAAAAUAAAUAAAUAAACUUGAGCAAAGGCUAGUGGUUUUCAUUGACAGAUUUUACACAAUUUACUCCUCUUGAACAAGCUUAUAUAUGAAAUUUUAUUUAUUUAUUUUUGGAAUUGUUGGCCAUGCUACUCUUUUAUUUCCAUAAAGUAAUACAUUUUAAAUUAAACACUGCACACUUUUAGAUCAACAUUAAAACUGGGUGCAUUCACAGUGUCCAGCUGACUCCAAAAAAAAGAAAAAAGUGAUAUUUAAUAAUAAUUAAACCACUCAUCAAUUAUCCCUCACUGUCACUGUAAGAACAUAGCCAAUGCAGUUGAGCACAGCACAAAUGCAUCCACUGCGGUGUAAUAAAGCAUGCAGUGCUGAAUUGUCCCAAACUGUUCAGUUUGUGUUUUGCUCUAUUAUGGUGAAUCACAGAAUCACAGAAUCUGGAGUGUAGAGUAUACACAGUCAUGCACCCCGUGGACUCUUUAAUUACGCACACACCACCGCCCACUGAAGUGCAUUUCAUAUGUGACUGAUAUUGCAGCUGUCUCUCAUCUUAGUAUGCAGGUCUGCACAAGCAAACUAUUUUAAAGUAGAAAAAUCAAA